rnacentral:rRNA from 1 species
UACAGAGGGGGCAAGCGUUAUUCGGAAUUAUUGGGCGUAAAGGGCGCGUAGGCGGUUUUUUAAGUCAGAUGUGUAAUCCCCGAGCUCAACUUGGGAACUGCAUCUGAGACUGGAAGGCUAGAGUACUGGAGAGGGUGGUGGAAUUCCUCGUGUAGCGGUGAAAUGCGUAGAGAUGAGGAGGAACACCAGUGGCGAAGGCGGCCACCCGGACAGUAACUGACGCUGAGGCGCGAAAAGUGUGGGGUAGCAAAACAGGGAUUUAGAUACCCCCGUUGUACGUCCC